CUUGGGGUGGAGGGUCCCUCAGCCCGGAUUGCGAGAGGGUGCAGGCCAGGCCGAGGGACCCCAGUGGUGCAGG
rfam:Myotis brandtii contig311404, whole genome shotgun sequence.